rnacentral:lncRNA from 1 species
AUGUCGAAGCCAGGGCGUCUCCGGCGUCGGGACCGUUAUGUGGGCCGGGGAGAAACGCCGGGAUCUGGAAGGGGAGGAGGAAUCGAGGCCCAGUUCGGGCAACUCAGAGGACGGAGGACUCUCUUCGAGAGUCACAACUUCGAUACGCGCCCUUUCCAGCCUCGACCUGAUCCACCUGCUGGCAGGUGUCAACCCAGGGAAGGGCCACUAGAGCAGCUAAUUCCUAAGUCACCCUCUGCUCUCUUUGCUAGGUUCUACUCCCCUCCUUCCGCCAUGACUAUUUCUAAGCUAGAGGUAGUAAUAUUUUCAGAAGUUAAUUGGCCUGUGUACGUUUUAAAAGCCUUCUUCAUGCUCUCUCCCUCCAUUUUCCCAGACUUAAAAACCUACACGAACCUGUGUGCUCCUUUUGAGGUCCAGGAAUUUAAAAUGGAAGCUGUCCUGACGCCACGUGCUCUGAAGCCGGCGUCUCCCCACCACCCCUCCCUGCACAUCGCGGGGCCCCUCUUUCUCCUUUCACUCGGCCUCCGCAGCCUGGAAAGGCUGAGGGGCCCGAGUGGUGUCAACCGGAGGAGGCGUCCACGGCAGAGGACCCCACCUGUGCUGCGCCGGGGGACUGGCUCCCUUGGAAUCCCGAGAGCGGGACGCGUGGGUUUCCGCGAAGUGACUUUCUCACGAACUUCAACGAAAGAAAAGUGCUCCGUCUCGAAACUGAGCCGCGACGGCCACCGAGUGUCAACAGCCUUCUCUGGUAAUUAGCAUUAGUAGUAGUAGUAGUACCAUACGAUAUUUCCAAAAUCAUCAGGCGUGGAAGGGGAAGAAGCGUUGUGGAGAGGAGAAGGGGGGUGGAGGACUGAAUAAGGAGAGAUUCCCGCCCCCAAGACCUCCCCGAGGAUCUGUAUUGGGCGAAGGAGACUUUUACUUUCAUUUUCAGGACCACCGUUCUCCCUUUCCCACCACCCCCAGACGGAUCUGCUGGGACUUGUUUCUCCGUGGGGCUUGAUCAGCUCGAGUGCGUUCCCCGCACAGUGGGAAAUGCUGGCGCGCCUUGGGCUGCGGCGGUGGGCUGAGCCCGGCGCUGGGCCGGACCUGCACCCCGCCCCCCACCACGCUCCGCAGCCCCAGGGCCGCCUCCGGGCGCUCACUCGUGGCCUACAGCCUCCUCUUCAAUGGAUUCAAUACGGCGUUCUCCCGGAACUCAGCAUCGAGCAUCCAGCUCCACUCGAAGUGGCGCCCAGCAGGCGGAGAUCGCCCCGGAUGAAAGGAAGGAUCCUGACCAUCCCUGAAAUUAGUUUAGUGUACGCGCGGAAAUAAGAAAGGGUUUAAAAGUUUCGUGAGUUGUUUGUGUUUCAUAACGUAUUUUGCUAAAAAUCAAGAAUUUAACAGGGACAGUUUUUCUUCUGGAAUGGACAUAACGCUAGAAGGAGGAUGCUUGCACUUUCCUAACCCACGUUCAGGGAAAUUGCUUUGUCUUUUUCCC